GACGAACGCUGGCGGCGUGCCUAAUACAUGCAAGUCGAGCGGAUCUGAUGAAGUGCUUGCACUUCUGAUGGUUAGCGGCGGACGGGUGAGUAACACGUAGGCAACCUGCCUGCAAGCCCGGGAUAACAUUCGGAAACGAAUGCUAAGACCGGAUACGCAGCUUGGUCGCAUGACUGAGCUGGGAAAGACGGAGCAAUCUGUCGCUUGUAGCUGGGCCUGCGGCGCAUUAGCUAGUUGGUGAGGUAACGGCCCACCAAGGCGACGAUGCGUAGCCGACCUGAGAGGGUGAACGGCCACACUGGGACUGAGACACGGCCCAGACUCCUACGGGAGGCAGCAGUAGGGAAUCUUCCACAAUGGACGCAAGUCUGAUAGAGCAACGCCGCGUGAGUGAGGAAGGCCUUCGGGUCGUAAAGCUCUGUUGCCAGGGAAGAACGCCUAGGAGAGUAACUGCUCUUAGGGUGACGGUACCUGAGAAGAAAGCCCCGGCUAACUACGUGCCAGCCGCCGCAGUAACAC
rnacentral:rRNA from 1 species